UGCCAAGGUAACACUACCAUGUGAAGUGCA
rnacentral:piRNA from 1 species